ACUCCUACGGGAGGCAGCAGUGGGGAAUAUUGGACAAUGGGCGCAAGCCUGAUCCAGCCAUGCCGCGUGAGUGAUGAAGGCCCUAGGGUUGUAAAGCUCUUUCACCGGUGAAGAUAAUGACGGUAACCGGAGAAGAAGCCCCGGCUAACUUCGUGCCAGCAGCCGCGGUAAUACGAAGGGGGCUAGCGUUGUUCGGAUUUACUGGGCGUAAAGCGCACGUAGGCGGACUAUUAAGUCAGGGGUGAAAUCCCGGGGCUCAACCCCGGAACUGCCUUUGAUACUGGUAGUCUUGAGUUCGAGAGAGGUGAGUGGAAUUCCGAGUGUAGAGGUGAAAUUCGUAGAUAUUCGGAGGAACACCAGUGGCGAAGGCGGCUCACUGGCUCGAUACUGACGCUGAGGUGCGAAAGCGUAGGGAGCAAACAGGAUUAGAAACCCUGGUAGUCCCAUG
rnacentral:rRNA from 1 species